rnacentral:rRNA from 1 species
UACGGAGGGGGCUAGCGUUGUUCGGAAUUACUGGGCGUAAGGCGCACGUAGGCGGCUUUGUAAGUUAGAGGUGAAAGCCCAGGGCUUAACCCUGGAAUUGCCUUUAAGACUGCAUCGCUAGAAUCGUGGAGAGGUGAGUGGAAUUCCGAGUGUAGAGGUGAAAUUCGUAGAUAUUCGGAAGAACACCAGUGGCGAAGGCGACUCACUGGACACGUAUUGACGCUGAGGUGCGAAAGCGUGGGGAGCAAACAGG